AGCUGAGCGUGCGGAGCGUCCGAGUAAGAAAUGCUUGUGUGUGUGGCUGGUGGAGGAAGAUUACUUGUUGAAGUCGUCUGAGCAAGGGAGUUCAUUAUGAUGGGAGAUUAUGCACUGAUGAUGGUGACAUGGAACUUCUCUGCAAGUGGCAAUCAUGUUAUCAAGAAAUACAAACUUGUUGACUAGAUUAAUUUUGAUUAUAAAACCUACACCAGCUUCAUGGCACUCCCCUUCAUUGCUGCCAUGUGUAUCCAGCUCCAACUUUGGUCUACUGGAUUUCAUGUUGUCCAUAAGUGUGUGGACAUUCCAUGUACAGAUGGUGAGUGGAAUCA